rnacentral:rRNA from 1 species
GUUGUAUGGUUAAGUGACUAAGCGUACACGGUGGAUGCCUUGGCAGUCAGAGGCGAUGAAAGACGUAGUAACUUGCGAUAAGCCCAGAUUAGGUAGUAACAACCAUUUGAGUCUGGGAUUUCUGAAUGGGGAAACCCACUUACAUAAGUAAGUAUCAUUAACUGAAUACAUAGGUUAAUGAGGCGAACCGGGGGAACUGAAACAUCUAAGUACCCCGAGGAAAAGAAAUCAACCGAGAUUCCGAAAGUAGCGGCGAGCGAAAUUGGACUAGCCCUUAAGCUUUACACGCGUUAGACGAACGGUCUGGAAAGUCCGACGAUACAGGGUGAUAGUCCCGUAGUUGACGACGUGUGUUCAGUGAAAUCGAGUAGGGCGGGACACGUGAUAUCCUGUCUGAAUAUGGGGGGACCAUCCUCCAAGGCUAAAUACUACUGACUGACCGAUAGUGAACCAGUACCGUGAGGGAAAGGCGAAAAGAACCCCUGUGAGGGGAGUGAAAUAGAACCUGAAACCGUGUACGUACAAGCAGUAGGAGCAGGCUUUGUCCUGUGACUGCGUACCUUUUGUAUAAUGGGUCAGCGACUUAUAUUCAGUGGCAAGGUUAACCAUCUAGGGGAGCCGUAGGGAAACCGAGUCUUAACUGGGCGUUCAGUCUCUGGAUAUAGACCCGAAACCAGGUGAUCUAGCCAUGGGCAGGUUGAAGGUUGAGUAACAUCAACUGGAGGACCGAACCGACUAAUGUUGAAAAAUUAGCGGAUGACUUGUGGCUAGGGGUGAAAGGCCAAUCAAACCUGGAGAUAGCUGGUUCUCCCCGAAAGCUAUUUAGGUAGCGCCUCGGACGAAUACUACUGGGGGUAGAGCACUGUUAAGGCUAGGGGGUCAUCCCGACUUACCAACCCUUUGCAAACUCCGAAUACCAGUAAGUACUAUCCGGGAGACACACGGCGGGUGCUAACGUCCGUCGUGGAGAGGGAAACAACCCAGACCGCCAGCUAAGGUCCCAAAUUACUACUAAGUGGGAAACGAUGUGGGAAGGCUCAGACAGCCAGGAUGUUGGCUUAGAAGCAGCCAUCAUUUAAAGAAAGCGUAAUAGCUCACUGGUCGAGUCGGCCUGCGCGGAAGAUGUAACGGGGCUAAGUAGUAAACCGAAGCUGCGGCAAUAUACUUUUGUAUAUUGGGUAGGGGAGCGUUCUGUAAGCGGUUGAAGGUGUGUGGUAACGCAUGCUGGACGUAUCAGAAGUGCGAAUGCUGACAUGAGUAACGAUAAAGGGGGUGAAAAACCUCCUCGCCGGAAGACCAAGGGUUCCUGUCCAACGUUAAUCGGGGCAGGGUAAGUCGACCCCUAAGGCGAGGCCGAAAGGCGUAGUCGAUGGGAAACGGGUUAAUAUUCCCGUACUUCUUACAAUUGCGAUGGGGGGACGGAGAAGGCUAGGUGGGCCUGGCGACGGUUGUCCAGGUUCAAGUGCGUAGGCUUAAGAGUUAGGUAAAUCCGGCUCUUUCUAAGGCUGAGACACGACGUCGAGCACCUACGGGUGUGAAGUCAUUGAUGCCAUGCUUCCAGGAAAAGCCUCUAAGCUUCAGAUUGUAAGGAAUCGUACCCCAAACCGACACAGGUGGUCGGGUAGAGAAUACCAAGGCGCUUGAGAGAACUCGGGUGAAGGAACUAGGCAAAAUGGUACCGUAACUUCGGGAGAAGGUACGCUCUCGACGGUGAAGUCCCUUGCGGAUGGAGCUAUUGAGAGUCGCAGAUACCAGGUGGCUGCAACUGUUUAUUAAAAACACAGCACUGUGCAAAAUCGUAAGAUGACGUAUACGGUGUGACGCCUGCCCGGUGCCGGAAGGUUAAUUGAUGGGGUUAGACUUCGGUCGAAGCUCUUGAUCGAAGCCCCGGUAAACGGCGGCCGUAACUAUAACGGUCCUAAGGUAGCGAAAUUCCUUGUCGGGUAAGUUCCGACCUGCACGAAUGGCGUAAUGAUGGCCACGCUGUCUCCACCCGAGACUCAGUGAAAUUGAAAUCGCUGUGAAGAUGCAGUGUACCCGCGGCUAGACGGAAAGACCCCGUGAACCUUUACUACAGCUUGGCACUGAACAUUGACCCUACAUGUGUAGGAUAGGUGGGAGGCUUUGAAGCACGUACGCCAGUAUGUGUGGAGCCGUCCUUGAAAUACCACCCUUGUAGUGUUGAUGUUCUAACGUCGACCCCUAAUCGGGGUUGCGGACAGUGCCUGGUGGGUAGUUUGACUGGGGCGGUCUCCUCCCAAAGAGUAACGGAGGAGCACGAAGGUGGGCUAAUCACGGUUGGACAUCGUGAGGUUAGUGCAAUGGCAUAAGCCCGCUUGACUGCGAGAAUGACAAUUCGAGCAGGUGCGAAAGCAGGUCAUAGUGAUCCGGUGGUUCUGAAUGGAAGGGCCAUCGCUCAACGGAUAAAAGGUACUCCGGGGAUAACAGGCUGAUACCGCCCAAGAGUUCAUAUCGACGGCGGUGUUUGGCACCUCGAUGUCGGCUCAUCACAUCCUGGGGCUGAAGUCGGUCCCAAGGGUAUGGCUGUUCGCCAUUUAAAGUGGUACGCGAGCUGGGUUUAGAACGUCGUGAGACAGUUCGGUCCCUAUCUGCCGUGGGCGUUGGAAGAUUGAAGGGGGCUGCUCCUAGUACGAGAGGACCGGAGUGGACGAACCUCUGGUGUUCGGGUUGUGUCGCCAGACGCAUUGCCCGGUAGCUAAGUUCGGAAUCGAUAACCGCUGAAAGCAUCUAAGCGGGAAGCGAGCCCUGAGAUGAGUCUUCCCUGAUACUUUAAGUAUCCUAAAGGGUUGUCGGAGACUACGACGUUGAUAGGUCAGGUGUGUAAGUGCUGUGAGGCAUUGAGCUAACUGAUACUAAUUGCCCGUGAGGCUUAACCAUACAACACCCAAGGGGUUU